UCAUCAAAGUUGAAGUUCCAAAUUUGAUUUGGCUGUGCGAAUGUUCUCUUAUUUUCCCAUUUGAGAUUCUUAUUGAUGUUGGAUUAUCCUUUUGGUUGGGUGAUUAAGUUUGAUUUAGGUGUGUGAAUAUAUAAAAUUUGAUUUGGGUAUGUGUUGUAUGGAGGUUUAUAAGAGAUGGAUUAGAAGGAAUAAAGGUUUUGUACGUCAAUUGGAUUCUAUUGUCAAUGGUGAAGUUAAAAUUUGCAGUUAUUACAAUUAAAGCUUCGGCUACAGGGUAAGAGUAAUGACAUGAGUAAGAGGAAAAUUAAGAGAAAGAGUACGGAAACAAGCUUAUAUUCCCUGAUCCAGUCACUUGAUACUAUUGAUUUAAAUCCUUCAUACAACUAAUGGUGAUCAUUUCAUUUAUAAGGCAAAUCUCGUGUUAGAUAUUCAGCUUGGUAAUUUUUUAUUAGUUGAGCUUGUCAUUUUCAAUCACUAAUUUUCUAUUGAGAUCAGUAACUUUGUUGCCUUAAAUAUUUUGUCUUCUUCUUAGCUUAUUCUCAAUACUAAAAAGAAUUCAACUGGAGUACUUUAAGAAGGGUCGUUGAAUGAGCUAAAACUUUGAUGAACCUAUAUACUUUUGGCUGAAUAAUUCUUGAAGGUUUGUUAUCUCCUCAAGUAUUUCUAUUAGUUGUAUGAUUUUGUGGAGUUUAAGUUGAGUUUCAUUGUUGUGAGUUGCUUAAUCUUUGUAUCUUAGGUAGGUUAGGAAACUUGAUGCCAAACCCCUACAGAUAAUCAAUGACUAUCCUGUCUACAAGCACAUUCUUAUUUCUUAUCCUUGAUUGGUAAGGUGCGUGUUAAAGUCAUUCAUGUAUAUUGAAUUUGUUGCAUCAGCAGAGAACUCUAGGGUAAUUAACAGGGGAAAAAGUUAGAUUUGGUGAAUUCAUAGCAAAGAAAGAAAACAAAGGGUCAUACUUGAUAUACAUUUGUAGUAAAAAAACUUGAAUGGAAAUAGAGGACGUUGUUACCACUUUAAUCAUCCUUAGUCUUUCUUCUUGGCUUCGGAGUCAAUAAGAUAUUCCUGAGAUUGUAAGUUUAAAAAACGAAACAAAUGAGAAUAUAGUUGAGAUAGCAAAGUUGAAACUCAAUGUGGAUAUAACUGUUAUAUAUACUUAAACAGUGACCUAGCGUUGAAAUAUUAACGGUAACAAGUCUUAUUAUCUAAAUGAAAACAGUCUCUCCAGAGUAUAUGAAAAAGAGGAUUUGCUAUAUUUAGCAUCAGUGCUCAAUGAACUAUUUAGGUAGUUGAAACAUUAAAGCUUGCGUUAAUACCUGCAAGUUGCCAACUUAUAGCAUAAGCAACGAUCUUGAGAUAUCGUUCAGACAAUAGGUUUUCUCAUUCAUUUGUAAAAACUUAUAAAUUUCGCGUAGCGGUAUGUGGCAAAGAGAAUGCAACUUUGGGAGCACCAUAACUAUUCAUUCACACUUUCAGCAGUACUGAGAUAUUGACCCAUUUUUCUUACUUUUAGUCGCCUUUGUCGAGGAAUGCUCUACAAUAUUCAUUACGUAUUGAUAGUUUCUAUCAAGUUGUUGUUAGCUUGAGCUAUCCAAGUUGCUUCAGACUAAAUGUUUGGAUGAUACAAGGUAAAAUCUUGCAGCUAUACCGUUGAUACAAGAGGCUAACUGUUUGAAUGACACAAGGUAAAAAUGAUGCAAUUAUACUAUUGGUAUGAGCUACAAAGUCUUACAUCAAAUAUUGCAGAUAGCCAUGAAAAUUUAUCUUUUCACCUUGCACAAGCUUGGGAGGAUAUUGCUCUUUUGAGUACUCUUGGUGCACAUUAUAGUGAACUUUUAUAUGUUGGUGAAAUCAUUAUUCCAUCAUAACUAAGAAAGAUUUACAAAAGGGUAGUAAUUCAGUUGGCAUCUACUAAUUAUAGGAUUCACUCUUAUCUUAAAAACAUGAUGUGGGUGAAUUACUCGCUUGCAUUUUCUCCUUCACAAAUUGGAGAUGAAUAUUUCCUCUAGAUAAGGUCUAUAUAUACUUGUUUAAUUCUACCACAAUGACUUUGAUAGAAUGAUGGCAAACUUAUAUUUAUUCUUUCUAAUUCUAUGUUGUAGUGAGCUCUGUCUUUCUUUUGUUA